rnacentral:rRNA from 1 species
UACGUAGGGUGCGAGCGUUGUCCGGAAUUAUUGGGCGUAAAGGGCUCGUAGGCGGUUUGUCGCGUCGGGAGUGAAAACCCAGGGCUUAACCCUGGGCUGGCUUCCGAUACGGGCAGACUAGAGGUAUGCAGGGGAGAACGGAAUUCCUGGUGUAGCGGUGAAAUGCGCAGACAUCAGGAGGAACACCGGUGGCGAAGGCGGAUCUCUGGGCCUUACCUGACGCUCAGGUGCGAAAGCUAGGGGAGCGAACAGG